GGCAUCCUCAAAGACAAGCAAAGUUGAAGAAUGGACUCAAGUCACUCCUAAGAAAUUGCACAAGAAGCAUACGUCUCCUCCACAAGUCCGCCAAUCGAAAAGGGGGCAAAGCAGCUCUUGUCAACCUUCAAAGCAACGUGAACGUGUUAAAGAUGAUGAAAUUGUGACACAAAGAUCGUCCGUUGCCAUCACGAUGCGCGACUUCUUGCCCGAAGACUUCUUCAAUCACUCGGUCAAGGCUCCUUGCUAUGAAGAUUGUGAGGAACACCUCUCCAAAAUUGCUUGACAAAUUCAUCAAUGCUCCCUGUUCGCACGAGCCUAAACUGCACGAACCAAAGCUCCUUGUCCGCAUGAGCCUAAACUGUAGGACACGAAGCUCCUUGCCCGCACGAGUCUAAACUGCAUGGCACAAAGCUCCUGGUCUGCACGAGCAUAAAAGGCAACAUCAACGCUCCUGACCCGCACGAGCAUAAAAGGCGACAUCAACGCUCCUGGUCUGCACGAGCAUAAAAGGCAACACCAAAGCUCCUGGCCCGCAAGAGCAUAAACUAUGUACGGCAAAAUCAUCAUCAAAAUCACUGUUAAAUUCAUCACUCAUUUGAACUACGUUAUGGCUUGAUCUCUUCUUUGGAAGGGUACGUAGGCGGCUUGAACAUUCAAUUUCGAGUU
rnacentral:lncRNA from 1 species